CCUACGGGUGACAGCAGUGGGGAAUAUUGGGCAAUGGAGGAAACUCUGACCCAGCAACGCCGCGUGAAUGAUGAAGGUCUUCGGAUUGUAAAGUUCUUUUCUAAGGGAAGAAGAAAGUGAAGGUACCUUAGGAAUAAGCCUCGGCUAACUACGUGCCAGCAGCCGCGGGAAUACGUAGGAGGCAAGCGUUAUCCGGAAUGACUGGGCGUAAAGGGUGCGUAGGUGGUGUGAUAAGUUGGUAGCGUAACUCCGAGGCUCACCAUCGGCACUACUAUCAAAACUGUCGGACUUGAGUGCAGGGGGGGCAACUGGAAUUUCUAGUGUAGCGGUGGAAUGCGUAGAUAUCAGGCGGAACACCAGUUGCGAAGGCGAGUUGCUGGACCGUAACUGACACUGAGGCACGAAAGCGUGGGUAUCAAACAGGAUUAGAUACCCGAGUAGUC
rnacentral:rRNA from 1 species